CCCUGGAAUAGUCAAAAUCAUAGAAAGUUGAAUGGUGGCUGCCUGGGGAGUGCCAGCCAGAUGCUCCUGGAGAGUUACCGUUUAAUGGGUAUGGUCAGUUGGGACAAGAAAGUUCUAGAAAAAAAAAAAAGAAGGAAAGAAAGCUCUGGAGAUGCAUGGUGGUGAUGGUGGCACAACAAUGUGAAUGUACUUAACGCCUCUGAUGGUACACCUAAAAAUUAUUAAAAUGAUGUAUUUUAUGAGGUAUAUGAAGACCCCUGAGAUGAUGGCUGUAAGCAGCAGCCCAUGCUGGGCUCCCAGUGCACCAGGCAGUGAGGAUCCCCCGCCAAGAUAAGAGGACCCCAGAUUAAAGAAGAAGGCUUAAGCUCACUUAUACAGUGAACGGGGAUACGAGGGUGGGACAGCAGCCUGACUCCUCCUCCAGGCCGCUAGCCAUGCCAGUGCCUUGUGCUGGGGCUGAGAGACUCCCUGAUGGAGGCCCAGGGCAUAAGGACACAACACAGAGGAGAGCGCAUAGCUGCCCUGCACAUGGCCAGCAGAGGCAGUGGGCCUCCGUGUCCUUGUGAGGAGGACAUGCUUGUCACUUCCCUUACGGAGCUGCUGCGAGGAUCAGAGAUGUUUGGGAAUGUGCCUCCUGGGGCACAAGUGCCACACACACAUGUCGCUGCUUAGGGCUGCCAUUUGCCUGUCACUAAAUGCUGUCCCCCAUCCCCCUAGUUUGCCACUCAGGAUUCCUGGUCCCCAUUGAUGCAUCAGGCAAAGCCAGAAAGAGAUUCAUUCUGGGGCAAACACGCAGAGUUCAGGAAAUGGGGUCCCUUGCUCUUCUCUGGACAGGCUGAGGGAGAAGCGCCUUAGAAAGAAGGCGGAAGAAGGGGUGGCCCUGUUCCCCCAGCCUCUCCUUCAGGCCACCUGAACAUCAGUGAAGACAGCCUCUAAUGUAAAGCCACCUUUAGCUUUACCCUCGGUGCCUGCUGAAGGGGAGCAGAACCCAGUGCCAGAGGCUGGUGCCAAGUCUCUUCCUUGGACACGUGGCUGAAAGGGAGGUGGGAGCAAGCUGUGGGAACAGACUGUUCUGCAGUUCAGUGGGGCCUGGCCACAUGGGAAUGGCUUAGUGCAGGCUUUCCACCCAGCAUGGUCAUCCUUAGGGGGCUCUGAGGGGUGUCGCAGGGCAAGCGGACUUCACGGGGCAUGGUGUACCCCUUGUGGGACAGCCUAUCCCCCUCCCUGACCCGCGGGAAGGUGGGCGAGAUGGCUCCAUAGCUGAGGGCCCAGGGCCGCGUGGGGGCUGCAUCCUGAGGAGGUGAGGCCUAGACACUUCGAGUCCUCCACUGAACUCGGGCUCCAGGCUGGCUACUCACAGGCCCAGGUCAGCUGGCAGCAGGAAGGUUUGUGUUUCUCUUAAUAUCAAUUCCCAGGCAUUUAACAUUCCUCGAAGCUUAAACACAGAAACAUUUUCCUUACCAGACUGGCUUGCUGCUCUGCCAAACAUAACCUGGCGACCUCCCCUUCCCCCAAAGCCUCCAUCUGCUCCUGUCGCCAAGAUGUAAUGAUUUAUGGUGCGUUUUUCCUGAGGCUUAUGUGGCUGACAGGAACAAGGAGGAGGGAAGGAAAAGGACUUGGAAGUCCAGGUGGAGACAGUGCCAUGGGGCCCUGGCAUCUGGAUUCUGGCAGGGGAGGGGGUCGGGGCCCAUGGUGCUCACUGAAAUGGCUGCCCCAGCCUCUUUAAUUCUUCCAUUUCGUGGCCACCAAUGGCUCAGGAAGCACGGCAGCCGCUCAUGUUUCUUGGCUGGAUAUCUCCUGGAGCUAGGCAGACAGAACCUUUUCCCCGCCUGUCCCUCUGGCCAGCCCAGGGCUGUGGAGACAGAGCUCCCACCCAUUAUCCCUGCAGAAAGCAGGUUCCCAAGACUGAUUUACAAACCUCUCUCUGAUCUAAGUGACGGAGAACUGGCUUAUGGUUGCCUGGCAACACUGUCUCCCUGGCGACAGUGCUCAAGGGCUGGUCCCACAGCAUCAGGAAGGGCCAUGCACAGGAACACUCUGGGGGUGAGGGGGGUGGGAGGAGACAGGAGGCAGAUGGCUGGGCCCCCACUGAAUGGUGCCAUUCCCCUAGUCAAACAUUCAGGUGAAACAGGUAGGGAGGGGAGGAGGCCCACCUGGGUCCCUAAGGGUGCUACCACCAAGAAGACCCAGCCAAAGGCCAGACACCAGACUCUGCAAUCUCCACAGGGCCUCAGACAACAAACACUUCCUUCAAAAAGCAUUGCUCAGCUCCCUUGACCCCUCCAGAUCACAUCUGGGCGAUUGUUAAGAAGCUCAGAGCACCAAACACCCAUGGGCUCAGUCCCAGGGCCGGUUACUGUUUUCCUUGAUUUCAGGGUCACAGAAUCCACCCCAAUGAGGCCACCUAUGUCCUAAACCUGAGACCACACAAGGUGCCAGAUGGAGUAUGGAUGGCUCCAUGCUGAAUGUCAUCCUCCCAAACCUACAUCCUCCUGAUAGGUAAAUGAAUAGUAGCCAUCUUCAAAACUGGCAGAAUGUUCCAGAGACAUAGGCUGCAAAUGAGGGCCCCAAGAAAUACAGCUGAGGCACAAAUACUCUUAACCUGACUCAGGACCUGGUUCUACCAAUACCCAGAGAACCCAUCUUAAGUCAAUCAACUGGCGUGGAUAAGGCUCAGCCACCCUAGCAGCAAGUCAGAGACCAGCCCUCAGCAAGCCAGCAGGAUUCUAAGCCCUUCUACUUCAGUGGCAAAUGCUCAGGGCCCCACGCCUCCUAUGCCAGACAUUGCUAAUCGAACACAGCAUUCACGGACACAGCUUCAGAAUUCUUCUUAACACAGUGUUCCCAGGAAGAGCCAUCAAUAGACUAUAGAAUUGGGAAGUGAAAGCAAAGAUGGCUGCUAUCCCCUGAGUCCAUUGUGCAGGAGUGAGCAUGAUGCACCUGAACCAGCCUUGGAAGCCUGAGGAAGCAGGCACACAUGGGUUUCUGGAGCUAGAAUAAGACACCAUCUCAGCAGGGGAGAACCACCGCCUUGGGAAAUUUUCUCAAACCAGUUUUGAACUCAAGUCACAAAAGACCAAGCACCUUAACCAAGAAGGCAGGUGAACAGUAACAUCAAUUAAGUGCCACCUGCCCUGGCACCUCGUGGGGUGACUGUGAGGGCCACAGAGGAGACUAUGGAAACGCAAGAGGCCGCUCUUGUCACAGAUAAGUGUGAAGUGGGGUGGGACUUUACCCUUCUUCUGUAGCUUCUGAAUGGCUUCUCUCCACUCCGACCUCUCAUAGUCCGAGGACAGUAGGAACAAGUAGCUCUGAAGACAGAUGAGAAUUCAGCGGGGUGACCACACGGCCAAGCACAUUCCCGGCUCCUUCUCACCCAGGCACUUGAGGCUUGGCCCAGGGGGCAGCUGGGAGGAGAGCCCCCAGUCUGGAAGCCCAGCGACAGGAGUGGCAGUGCCAGCGAUGGCCAGCAGGGGGCACUGGCUCCUCACCAGCCGGGGGAGGGAGUCCAGGGGCAGGAGCUGUGGCAACAUCCUUGGGAAUUGGGCCUGAGUCCCUGAUUCCCACAGGUCAUAGAUAGGAGCCCUAGAGAACAGGCAGCCCUGGACUGAGGAAGGGGGCCACCUUGGUCCCAUCACCACCCCUCCCUCACCUUUCCAUUCCGAUUGUGGAUCCGAAAUGGGAUCGUGGGGGAGUUGAGCAGCAACAAGAACUCAUUCUCGAACAUCUUCUUUUUCAGGCGCUCAAUGGCCCGGCUCUGUCCUUUGUUGGCUUUCUGUGGGGGCCAGAGGGCACAGAUGGUUUCCCUCACACACUUCACUCCUCACUUGGCAGCUCUAUGCACAGCACUUCCUUGGGCACUAAUCGUGUCUUUUCCUUUGUUUAUAUUUUAUGAUGCUUUGUUAUCUUGGGGGUGCCUAGUUGGCCAGGGAGAAAACUACCCCUCCUAGGGCAAGCUGAUCCCUAAGAUAGUAAAGGACCUCUCUGUGUACAUACCUCCAUGGAUAAACCAUCCAGGCCUGGGUUCAUACCCCCAAACACUUCCUCUACCUACCCCCAAUUCACUGACCCAAUAUUCCUCUGUCCUAAAUAACCCAGGGCCAGGUAGCAGACAGCUAGGGACCACCCCAGAGCCCAGACCCUACUGAGUUUUCAAACCCCUAGUCCUAAGCAGUUGCCUCUGCCUGCUUUCCUUUCCUAUGGCAGACACAAUACAGGCUCUGGGCUGGGUUCUCCCCCUGUGUCUUUGGCAUCCUGCCCAAAACUGGUGCUUCCCCUGUGGCCCUGAGUGGGAUGAUGCGCCCCUUCCUCUUGGUAACUGUGAGAAAUAAGAAUCCUCUUGUAGUGCCACUAGCCUAACCACGUCAUCACUCAGUCACCUCAAUAAAUCACUGGUGACUGGGUACCAUCAAAAUACCCUGCUUAAAAACCUCAGAUGCCAUUCAGCAAAACCCUAACUGCUGGCCUGGCACAUGGGGCCUCUGUGCCCAGCCAAAUACCCUACCAUGCCCCACCCUGUAUGUUCCACCUCAGCCGCACAGUAUUAUUCCUUGUUCAUUUUUUUUUUUUAAAGAUUUUUAUUUCUUUGACACACAGAGAGAAAGAGCGAGCGAGCGAGCACAAGCAGGCGGAGCGGGAGAACCAGGCUCCAGCAGGGAGCCUGAUGCGGGGCUCAAUCCCAGAACCCUGGGAUCAUGACCUGAGCUAAAGGCAGACACUUAAUCGAAUGAGCCAAACAGGUGCCCCUAUUUCUUGUUCUUUAAUAAGCCCUUAUGUCUCAGCCCAAUUUUUCAACUUUACAUUUUAUGAAGGAUCCCUUCCCUUUUAGUAACUGUUAUGAGGCUUCAAGUUUCUGUUCCAGCAUCAACUUCUGCAGACACUUAAUCGAAUGAGCCAAACAGGUGCCCCUAUUUCUUGUUCUUUAAUAAGCCCUUAUGUCUCAGCCCAAUUUUUCAACUUUACAUUUUAUGAAGGAUCCCUUCCCUUUUAUUUUUUUUUCCCUUCCCUUUUAGUAACUGUUAUGAGGCUUCAAGUUUCUGUUCCAGCAUCAACUUCAAGUUCCUCAGUUAGAAUUCAUCUCUACGGACUUGCUUUACCCACUAGACUGGCAACAAUGGUAACAACUGCUCACAGCCAGUGUUAUGACAGCGUAGGAGGGGACAGUGACUCUCACACUGCUGGUGGGGUACACAAUGGACUGCAAUCUUCCCAGAGGGACUCUCCUCACAUCGUGUCACAUGCUGAGGUCAGUAACGGGCAAGACAAGGAGCUCCGUGAGGUGUCUGGCACACCCCUGCAGCGAGCAACCAGUGGAGUUCAGGAAGUGUUGAUUCGACUGAGCAGAAGGCCAUGUCUGCACACCUGGGGCAGGAGGGAGGAGACAAAGUCCACCAGCGACCAGGACUGGGAGAAACAGGCAUGCAGGAUGCCCUGGGUGGGGCUGGUAGGCAGUGCUGGCUGGGGAAACAGGCUCCACUGAGGCAGGGUGAGGCUUGGCCAGUCAGGAGGAGGACACCUGUGCCCCUCUGAGCAGAUGUGCCCCCAGUGAGACCCUCAGUCCUAGGUCAUCCCUUUGCCCCAGACCCCCCUGGGGUCAUCACUGUGGUCUUCCUCUCCUUCAAAGAGGGAUGUCAAAGCUGAAAGGAAUCUUUUUUUUUUUUUUUUUUU